UGCAAGUCGACGGAAACGAUGGAAGCUUGCUUCCAGGCGUCGAGUGGCGGACGGGUGAGUAACGCGUAGGAAUCUACCCAGUAGUGGGGGACAACCAGAGGAAACUCUGGCUAAUACCGCAUAAUCCCUACGGGGAAAAGAGGGCCUCUUCUUGAAAGCUCUUGCUAUUGGAUGAGCCUGCGUGAGAUUAGCUAGUUGGUAGGGUAAAGGCCUACCAAGGCGACGAUCUCUAGCUGGUCUGAGAGGACGAUCAGCCACACUGGGACUGAGACACGGCCCAGACUCCUACGGGAGGCAGCAGUGGGGAAUAUUGGACAAUGGGGGCAACCCUGAUCCAGCAAUACCGCGUGUGUGAAGAAGGCCUUAGGGUUGUAAAGCACUUUCGGCAGUGAAGAAAAGCUUAUGGUUAAUAUCCAUGAGUCUUGACGUUAACUGCACAAGAAGCACCGGCUAACUCCGUGCCAGCAGCCGCGGUAAUACGGGGGGUGCAAGCGUUAAUCGGAUUUACUGGGCGUAAAGCGCGCGUAGGUGGUUUGGUAAGUUGGAUGUGAAAGCCCUGGGCUUAACCUGGGAACUGCAUUCAAUACUGCCAGGACUAGAGUGUGGUAGAGGGAAGUGGAAUUCCGGGUGUAGCGGCGAAAUGCGUAGAUAUCCGGAGGAACACCAGUGGCGAAGGCGGCUUCCUGGACCAACACUGACGCUGAGGUGCGAAAGCGUGGGGAGCAAACAUGAUUAGAUACCCUGGUAGUCCACGCCGUAAACGAUGUCAACUAGCCGUUGUGCAAGUCGAGCCCUC
rnacentral:rRNA from 1 species